rnacentral:rRNA from 1 species
CCUACGGUAGGCAGCAGUGGGGAAUAUUGGGCAAUGGGCGCAAGCCUGACCCAGCAACGCCGCGUGAAGGAAGAAGGCUUUCGGGUUGUAAACUUCUUUUAUCAGUGACGAAGCCAGUGACGGUACCUGAUGAAUAAGCCACGGCUAACUACGUGCCAGCAGCCGCGGUAAUACGUAGGUGGCAAGCGUUAUCCGGAUUUACUGGGUGUAAAGGGCGUGUAGGCGGGAGAGCAAGUCAGAUGUGAAAACCCUGGGCUCAACCUGUGGCCUGCAUUUGGUACUGUUUGUCUUGAGUACUGGAGAGGCGGACGGAAUUCCUGGUGUAGCGGUGGAAUGCGUAGAUAUUAGGAGGAACACCAGUGGCGAAGGCGGUCUGCUGGACAGCAACUGACGCUGAGGCGCGAAAGCGUGGGGAGCGAACAGGAUUAGAUACCCGGGUAGUC